AGUUCAGCUACAAAUGAAACACAUUUUAUUAUUAAUGCUAUUUAUUUUAAGAUAAAAAAAAAUUAGAAAAAAAAAAUUCUAACGAGUUGAAAAUAUUAGCUGUUGUAAUGCGUACGAAGCACGUCCGAACAUCGUCAAACAGCAUAAAGUUGUGGAUCAAUAGAUAAAAUCUAAACAAAUUAGAUGACAACCCGCAGUUCUCAAGAAUUUAAGUACAAUAAUUUACAAGACAGUGCAACAAUGCGUUACAAUAACUAAACGUGCUCGUGAAAUACAACGCUACUAAGAAGCGAGAAAAGCGCGGGAAUAUAUCCGCCACAACAAGAAGUCAUCGUCCGCACAAGUGAGUGCGACAAUAAUAAGCAUAAAGUAGUUGUUAAUUUUAAACCUCAUUUUUUAUUGCAUUAUCAAUAAAA